CCGAAUGGGGAAACCCAGUGUGAUUCGUCACACUAUCAUUAACUGAAUCCAUAGGUUAAUGAGGCGAACCGGGGGAACUGAAACAUCUAAGUACCCCGAGGAAAAGAAAUCAACCGAGAUUCCCCCAGUAGCGGCGAGCGAACGGGGAGGAGCCCAGAGCCUGAAUCAGCAUGUGUGUUAGUGGAAGCGUCUGGAAAGGCGCGCGAUACAGGGUGACAGCCCCGUACACAAAAGCGCAUGUGCUGUGAGCUCGAUGAGUAGGGCGGGACACGUGGUAUCCUGUCUGAAUAUGGGGGGACCAUCCUCCAAGGCUAAAUACUCCUGACUGACCGAUAGUGAACCAGUACCGUGAGGGAAAGGCGAAAAGAACCCCGGCGAGGGGAGUGAAAAAGAACCUGAAACCGUGUACGUACAAGCAGUGGGAGCACAGGUUUACCUGUGUGACUGCGUACCUUUUGUAUAAUGGGUCAGCGACUUAUAUUCUGUAGCAAGGUUAACCGUAUAGGGGAGCCGUAGGGAAACCGAGUCUUAACCGGGCGUUAAGUUGCAGGGUAUAGACCCGAAACCCGGUGAUCUAGCCAUGGGCAGGUUGAAGGUUGGGUAACACUAACUGGAGGACCGAACCGACUAAUGUUGAAAAAUUAGCGGAUGACCUGUGGCUGGGGGUGAAAGGCCAAUCAAACCGGGAGAUAGCUGGUUCUCCCCGAAAGCUAUUUAGGUAGCGCCUCGUGAAUUCAUCUCCGGGGGUAGAGCACUGUUUCGGCUAGGGGGCCAUCCCGGCUUACCAACCCGAUGCAAACUGCGAAUACCGGAGAAUGUUAUCACGGGAGACACACGGCGGGUGCUAACGUCCGUCGUGAAGAGGGAAACAACCCAGACCGCCAGCUAAGGUCCCAAAGUCAUGGUUAAGUGGGAAACGAUGUGGGAAGGCCCAGACAGCCAGGAUGUUGGCUUAGAAGCAGCCAUCAUUUAAAGAAAGCGUAAUAGCUCACUGGUCGAGUCGGCCUGCGCGGAAGAUGUAACGGGGCUAAACCAUGCACCGAAGCUGCGGCAGCGA
rnacentral:rRNA from 1 species